rnacentral:misc_RNA from 1 species
AGCAGUAGCGCGAGUUCACAUGGGAUUGGGAACAACUGCGAGAAGCCGAAGAAGAAUCGUCAUCGAAGAAGGUUAUCUGUCGUACCCCAUUUUGGAUGCUUUUUCGUGUUUCCCCUGUUUUCAGCAGCGACGGUGGCGCCGUCGUGCACUUUGUUGUCGUACAGGUACCACUUCAAAAAAAGGAAGGGUCUGAAGUGAGGGAUUUCGGGUUCGGGUGCUGUCGGAAGGAAGUGUGCGUGGAUUCGUUGGUGGAGAUGAUCACAUUUGUUCAUUGGAGCAAUUGCUCGAACAUGAUGUCAGAGGUUUAUUUCUUUGUUUUGCUUUUUUUUUUUUCCUUCCUUUUCUUUACUUUUUCAU